UAUCAAAAACAUCGCCUCUUGACAGCUAUAAGAGGUCUAGCCUGCCCAGUGAUAAAUUCAACGGCCGCGGUAUCCUAACCGCGCGAAGGUAGCAUAAUCACUUGUUCUUUAAAUAGGGACUUGUAUCAACGGCAUCACGAGGGUUAUACUGUCUCCUCUCUCUAAUCAGUGAAACUGAUCUCCCCGUGAAGAAGCGGAGAUGGACCAAUAAGACGAGAAGACCCCAUGGAGCUUUAAACCUCACAGCAACUCUAAUACCCAACCCCUCAUAACUUAUAGAGCAGUGCACGUCGGUUUUAGGUUGGGGCGACCGCGGAGUAAAAAUUACCCUCCACGACGAAAAGAACUAAAUCUUUAUUUAAGAGCAACCGCUCUAUAAAUUAGUAUACUAACGAACAAUGAUCCGAUAAUCGAUCAACGGACCAAGUUACCCUGGGGAUAACAGCGCAAUCUACUUCAAGAGCCCAUAUCAACAAGUAGGCUUACGACCUCGAUGUUGGAUCAGGGUAUCCCGGUGGUGCAGCCGCUACUGAUGGUUCGUUUGUUCAACGAUUAAAACCCUACGUGAUCUGA
rnacentral:rRNA from 1 species